GCGCAGAUGGCGUAACUGGCAGCCGCGCCAGCUUGAGAGGCUGGUGGGUAACUCCCGUGGGGGUUCGACUCCCCCUCUGCGCACCA
rnacentral:tRNA from 1 species